UUGUGCGUGAUAUUGCAACAUAGACCAUGAGGGGCCAAGAAAAGAACGCAAAAGCAUAGAAGAAUUAUGGCUGCCAUGAUUUCUUGUGGGAUGAUGAGAAAAAUAAAAUGAAGCUCAUUUAUAACGUCUUGGUCCAAGAAACUACAAUUUACUUGGAAAACAUGGGAAUCAUGAAUGGAUUUUUAGGUUGAAGGUGCUAUUUCCCUUUGUAAAAAUUAGGUUAUUUUUUGGUUGGUUGCUGGGAAAAAAGAAAAAUGAAUUAUGAAAUUAGGUUAGUUGAUUUAUGAAAAUUA
rnacentral:lncRNA from 1 species